UACGUAGGGUGCAAGCGUUGUCCGGAAUUAUUGGGCGUAAAGAGCGUGUAGGCGGCCAGACAGGUCCGUUGUGAAAACUAGAGGCUUAACCUCUAGACGUCGAUGGAAACCGUCUGGCUAGAGUCCGGAAGAGGAGAAUGGAAUUCCUGGUGUAGCGGUGAAAUGCGCAGAUAUCAGGAAGAACACCCGUGGCUAAGGCGGUUCUCUAGUACGGUACUGACGCUGAGACGCGAAAGCGUGGGGAGCGAACAGG
rnacentral:rRNA from 1 species